UCUCCGUAGGUGAACCUGCGGAGGGAUCAUUACAAGUGACCCCGGUCUAACCACCGGGAUGUUCAUAACCCUUUGUUGCCCGACUCUGUUGCCUCCGGGGCGACCCUGCCUUCGGGCGGGGGCUCCGGGUGGACACUUCAAACUCUUGCGUAACUUUGCAGUCUGAGUAAACUUAAUUAAUAAAUUAAAACUUUUAACAACGGAUCUCUUGGUUCUG
rnacentral:misc_RNA from 1 species